rnacentral:rRNA from 1 species
CAGCCGCCGCGGGAAUACGGAGGGAGCUAGCGUUGUUCGGAAUUACUGGGCGUAAAGCGCGCGUAGGCGGUUACUCAAGUCAGAGGUGAAAGCCCGGGGCUCAACCCCGGAACUGCCUUUGAAACUAGGUGACUAGAAUCUUGGAGAGGUCAGUGGAAUUCCGAGUGUAGAGGUGAAAUUCGUAGAUAUUCGGAAGAACACCAGUGGCGAAGGCGACUGACUGGACAAGUAUUGACGCUGAGGUGCGAAAGCGUGGGGAGCAAACAGGAUUAGAUACCCCUGUAGUUCCUGUCUCUUAUAC